rnacentral:lncRNA from 1 species
GUUUUUAAAUAUUUAUUGCUAUUCCAACUGAUGACUAUUCAACAACAACUCAUACUUUAUUUACUUGUUUGCUAUUUAAACAUAUACCUAAAGAGAUUUUUCACUUUUCUUGCACAGAUACUAGGAGAAUGGCUGCUCUUUGUACCAAUGCCCUUGUUUAUCUUCAAGCAGAAGUAUUUGAGACACGACAAGAAAUGCAUGUUUCUCAUUGCUUUCCAGCUACUCUUCUUCAUCAAUUAUUGCUAUUACUCCUAUUGCUACAGAGUCAGACGGUCUUGGGCAAUUGGGUACAAUUACUGUGUGACCUGGGUGAGAGCUGUUCUGGCUUGCUGAGUUAGGUGAUCUAACUCUGUAGGUCAGCAGCAGGAUCUACAAGGCUUUAUCCAGCCCUAUGGGAACGAGGAUCUGCUGCGAAGGUCUCCCAGAAGCCAGUGGAUGUUUUUGAAGUCUGAUGUCUUCUGAAAACAUGCCUGGGUUGUUCUUCAGUGAGAUACAAAUGCCUGGGGGAAGGCUCUUUCCUCAGCCCAGCUUCCCCUCUUGGCUGCAACUUUGGAGGCUCUCCUCAUGCUUUUUUUCCACCCAGGAGAGCAGUCUCCAACUGCAGCUGCCCAGGAGAAUAUCCGAUUGCAGAAGGCAUGAAAGUCGGUAUCUACUGCAACCAUCCAACCACAGCGAAUCCACGUUUUAUUUCUACCUAAUUCAUCUGCUGCACACCCUUUUAAACCAAUCAAGGGGGCUACAAAAUUUGCCCUUGCUCAGAUAGGGUACAACACCACGAGAAGAUCAGAGAAGCUGGGCAGGGAACAAAAUAGCUGCUUGCCUUUUCCAAAAAGGAUCAAAUUCCUUUUCUCUGAUAUUCCAUGCUGGGCCCUGAUGGUAGAGGGCUAUUAAUAGGAGAAUGCAUGAGGAGGGUGAUAGGUAUAGCCCACAGGUUUUCAUCCCUGUUGAAGGAUGUUAGUUUGCUUCAUCUGGGUCUCUCUGCUCUCACAAGAUUUGUCCUCAUGGAUCUACACACUUGGAACAGGCUGUACCAGCAGUUCCAGUCACUCUGGGGCUUCAGCCUCAAGUUGUGCAAAACUGCAGACAUGAACAGUGCAAAACUGUCGUUAGCUAUUUGUUAAAUCAGGAAAAGAAAAAGCACAAUAUGUCACCAUCCUGACACCUAGCCUAGUACAUGAGUUUGUCCUGAAGGCAGCCAUAUAUAUGUUUGUCUCUAUAUCACAGAAUCUGAGUUAAUUUAGUUGUUGGGGUAUUUUUUAUGCCAAGGAUAAUAAGCAAAAGGGCUCCACACCCAGCAGUAAUUUCGUAGAGUGGUGUCAUGAAUGUGGACCAAGUUUAUGGAAACAGAUUUUUAUUGUGCUUAUGCCUUUUCUGGUAAUAUCUAGAUUAACAGUAGAGGUGACAGGCCAUAUAAUCCAUAAAAGGCAAAUUCUACAUCACCAUAGUUUCACAAAAUGAAACUCCCCUGUAUAAUGUUAGAGUAGCAUAGACAUGUAUUAAAAGUGAAUGUAUCUUUCUGACAGCUAAAAAACAAAGGCCUCCCUCACCUCUCUUUUAAUAGCAGUGGCACUGGAAAAGUCAUUAGUUUUACUGCCGUCCUUAAGGCUAAAAGGCGAGCACAUGAGACUCUUUGGUCUUUUAAAUAAAAUGAACUUUAUUGCAAAAUGUUUGUUCUUU